UUUUUUUUUUUCUUCUGUGGGUAACAUUUGCUACUGAAAAAUCUUAUCCGUGUAAAUAUCCAGUAGAAUGCUCAAUAAUCGUGUUAAUAAUGUUAAUGAAAGUGUACAGUUAAAUGACGGAGACAAUUAGUUCACACCAUUUUGGUUUAUUUAUUUAGCAGUGAGCAUUGUUUAACAUGUCAGUCCCGAGAAACAGAAACAACCAUGAAGAGGCUUAACAUUACUAAUAAAACAAUCAGUAUCAAAAUAUUUUAUGUAACAAUUUGUCCGUGUUCAUAUAAUAAUCUGUCAGCUCUAUGAUUUGCUUAUUAUGUGAAUUAACUCCGUAAUCGCCCUGAGAUUGGAUUCGGUGACACCAUUUAACAGCUCCCGAGCGGGGGGCUUUUACUCCGGGCAUUUUUAGGGAAGGAGCUGUCAGGCUAAUCUGAGGAUAUUUGGGGAAAGCCAACAAACUGUCACAAACUCGUACGUAACCAGUUAGAUUUCUCGUGGCGAUUUGGAAGAGAUUUAACACUUCUCCCCUCCUACCCUCCACUUUCACUCAGGCCCCUUCCUCUUCGAAAUGCUUAAAAAAUAAUCAUUUUAAAUGCUAAUGCCGGCUCUAAGUGUGCCCCUAAUUGGUGAAAAUCAAAGCGCCUAGCAUGGGAUUUAGCUGAGCGGAACCCCGGGGCGGCAAGGAGGGAGAAAUUGAAAACCCGUCGCUCCGCCCCGCUCGUGGGCACAGGCGCGCCGCAGACCCGGGAGCAAACGCCCCCGCGGGGACACCCUUUCUGGGCACCCGGGGCGCAUCUUUGGGGAGCAGCCACUCCUGUGCUCCGCCCCGCUCCCGGUGCGGUCGGAUGAGGUGUCCGCGGGCUCCCCGCACAGCCCUCGGGAUGGAAACGUUUGUUACCCUGGGUCGCAACUUCCGCACCCUAGGCUGCUGGGGUCCUGGCGGGUCCAAGGGCCAGAGGCACCCGGGAGGCGGGCAAGAGCCGAGAUUCUUGCGGGCGAAGGGCGGUUCCAGAGGCUCGUCUGGAUCGCCGGAGGCAUCGGGAGCGCUGGGGGCGGCGGUGCAGCAGGGCGGUCACGGGAGUUCCCGCGGAGGCGAACUGCUCCGAAUUGUGACUUUGCGCGAGGGGGUGGACGCACCGCCAAAGCUAUUUUAAGCACAAGAGCCAAGCCCUGGAUCUUUAGGACACCUAAGGAAUAUGAAUGAACUGCAGCCUCCAUCCAUCCAUAAACAUAACAUCAUGCAUGUAUGCUUACUUACAAGUUAGCUUGUCAGAUUUUCCUUUGUAAACUCAUCCCUUUGCUCUCUUUUCCUGGCAAGGAUUCAGCCACUAGUAUUUGAUUUUUAUUUCAUUUUAUUCUUAAUUAAUUUAUUUUUAACUUUGGAAUAGAGGUUGGCUAACAUCUCCUUAUAGCAAUAAACUCACAAAUGUCAUACUCCUACAAAUUCUUUUUUUCAAACGAAUCUUCUAGGAAAGGCUUCCCAAAUCUGCCAAUCGCCAUCAUUCGAGACAAAUAAGCCUUGGUAAUUUUGGAAAGUGGAAUUAAUGAUCAGGAUAAUUUGAGGAAGGAACAGAAAGGACCGACUGUGCCUCACACUCAUUUACUUAUCAGAAACUUUAUGGGUGACCAUCAUUGCAGAGCAAAGCAAUGCCAGGAAUGUCACAUGCUCCUUAGAUCUCGGUAUUCUGUCUGGGCAAAGAUCCAGUGUUUGACGCUACAGAGAAAUGGACCUGAGCAGCAGAUGCCUAUGAGUGAAUACACAGAGAGCAACCUUAGAACGAACCGCAUUUUGUGAGUUAGGGAGUUAUUUUCAUUCAGUGAACAUGUGGACCAACCUCUUCUGGUAGGAAGGGUAAGAAAGAAUUGGGAAAGAAUAAAUGCAGGGCUCCUACCCUCAUAGAUGAUCCAGGCUGGUGACUGGAAGCAAGUUUAGAUGAUAGCAAGCCUAGAAAGUGUAAAGGCCUGGAGAUAGGCUCUAAAUAAAGUAGGAGGGAAUUCAGUGGAGGCAGGGUUACUCCCAGCUGAAGGAUGGUCCUUCGUUAAACUGAGUCUGCCCAAACUUCAGUUCUGUCUUGGGCUCCAAAGAAGUGAAGGAAUUCACUCAAGGUCAUCUCCCUUUCUGAAAGUCUCUGACAUGGAUUUAGUGUACAGCCUUGCCUCUAGAACUUUCAGUAUGUUUGUUUUUAUCAGCUUUAAGUUACUUUCUAACCUUUUUAAUUCUUAAGCAUUCAUUUUGAAGGUCAAUUGCUAUAAACUGAGGCUGAACUGAGGUGACACAAUCAAAGGGAAUUAAAAGUUAUGAGCUAAAUAUGUUUUACUCAUCAUUUCUUUCCAAAAAGAAUCUGGGUGGUCUAUGAUGGAAAACACUCUACUUCAAAUAACUUGGUAACAUCAAAAUAGAAAACCAGAAAAGAAAAAAUCGAAACUUAAAUCAGGCGACCUUAAGAGUAAAUAAGAUUACUUCAGAUUUGGUCCUGAGUUUUUUGGGGUUUUUUUUGUUUUGUUUUGUUUUGUUUUUGGUCUUUUUAUGGCUACAGGUGCGGCAUAUGGAAGUGCCCAGGCUAGGGGUAAAAUCAGAGCUGUAGCUGCAGGCGUACACCCCAGCACCAGAGCCACAGCAAUUCGGGAUCUGAGCCAAGUCUGUGAGCUACACUACAGCUCACUGCAACGCUGGAUCCUUAACCCACUGAGCAAGGCCAGGGUUUAAAUCCAAGUCCUCAUGGAUACUAGCGGGUUCGUUAGCGAUGAGCCAGAAGGGGAACUCCUGGUCCUGAGUUGCUUAGUAGCCAAGGUAAAGAGAGAAAAUCCUUGACAUUGAUUGUGCUAUUGGAAAAUGCCAAGAAUAUCUAUUUUCAAAUGAAACAAAUCGUAAAUUUACUAUGUGAAGUAUCAUAAGGGGCACUGUGGGAUAUAGCAGGCAGGGUCCUGAUAGUAUUUUUAUAGAGAAAAAAAGAGGAUAUCUACAGCCCCGUUUCUUGUAAUAACCUCCCAUAAAAACCAAGACUUGAGUGAAGAGGAGUCUUUGCAGACUGACUCAGCUAACAUAAUUUCAUAUUUGGGGGUUCACUUUGAACCCUAAACUACACAUCCAUUGGACAGUCUUUCCCAUAUAUCACUUCCUGCAGCUGAACCAAACAAUAUAAAAUUAAGAUUCUUCUCUCUAGCAAAAGCCCAGAGUGUUGUUAUUACUUUGGGAUCAUAGAGCACAGAUUCAUAGGGUUUGGAAAACAACUGAGCAAAUGCUAAGUCUGUCAUCCUUCUACUAAAAGUGCAGAAGCAAAUCAGUGUAUUCACACCGAUAAAGACCACCCCAAUUUUCCUUAGAGGUAGGCUACAGGGGCAUCUCAAGGGUGAGCCAAAAUUUUCCUUAGGAAGUUGCUUUGAAAAUGCUCCAGCACUUGAACAAAUGUUUAAUUGAGUCCCUGGAGCUCCAUACUGUUUUGGCAUGGAAAAAAUGUCAAAGCUGGUGUUUCCUAAUCACCCACCAUGGCUGGAGAAAAACACCAGUAGGACUCCCACAUUACCUCUGACUGGAUGACAAGGCUUUCUGAUGGGGCAAAGAGAAUGAGUUCCUUGCAAAAUGAAAUGGAAUGAGUUGAGAACAACUCCUGCAAACCAUGACUUUAGUUUUAUUAUGGUUGCUUAGGCCAUUAUUUUUGACAGCAACCACUUUUUCUGGAGGCCAUUUUUCAUUCAUGUUUCUUUUCCUAUUUACAUGGUGGGGGUGGGGAGCUUUUAAACAAAAAAGGAGAUCAUCCGGUUUUACACCCCUCAAAGGGUCAUGAUCUGCUCUGUUAGGAGACUGUUCCUGCUUGUCAUGAUUUUUAUACGGGGUGUUUGGAUGGAGAAUUUUUUUGGAAUUUUUUUGUUGUGAUAAAAUGUACAUAAUAUAAAAUUUAUUUCAUUUUAAGUGUACAGUUCAGUGUUGUGCAACCAUCACCAUCAUCCAUUUCCAGAAGUUUUCUAUCUUCUCCACCUGAAAUUCUGUUUGAUUAAACACUAACUUCCCAUUCCUCUCUUGCUCAGUCCUUGGUAACCACCAUUUUACUUUCUGUCUCUAUAAAUUCAACUAUUCUAGGUACCUUCUAUGAGUGGAAUUAUACAAUAUUUGGACUUUUGUGGCUAACUUAUUUCAAGGAGAACUCACUGCCAGUCAUAGUGGGAGCUCUUGAGGAGAAUUUUUUUUUUUUUUUUUCUUUUUUAGAGCCACGCCUAUGGCAUAUGGAAGUUCCCAGUCUAGGGGUCAAAUCAGAGCUACAGCUGCUGGCCUACACCACAGCCACAGCAACAUGGGAUCCAAGCCACAUCUGCAACCUACAACACAGCUCAUGGCAAUGCGAGAUCCCUGAACCACUGAGCAAGGCCGAGGAUAGAACCUGCAUCCUCAUAGAUACUAGUCAGAUUCGUUUCCACUGCACCACAAAGGGAAUUCCCUCAAGAACAUUUUUUUAAAAGACCAUGAAUAACUAAUAAUCCAUGUUAAGAUCAUGGCAUAUGAUUCAUUAACCAUUUCCUAAUCCACAAAAUGAAGAGUGAGUGAAAUCUGCAAACCAUCUUACAUUGUCCGAGGCAGCUUUCUCCCCUAAGAAGUAGGUACUAUAACAUUGGACCUUAAGAAGGGUAGUUGCAUCUGUAACCUACUUGCUCCUUAGGUAAAAUGUCAGGCCAAGAGCCUUAGAAAUAUAGAAAACUGGGAAACGUUUUGGAGGAAUUAUGCAAAAAUAUGGUUGGAUUUAUAAUUGGUGAGAUACAGAGAGCUGCUGCGUGAUCAUUAUGAGUGAAACAGGAUCCUACCAGAGGGGUUGUUUGAAAUAAUUUGAUAAAGACUGGCACACAUCCAUCAGAACAGUCUGGUCAGGUUUCAAUGAUCUAUUAUUGUAAACAAAUAACUCCCCAAACCCAACCUCUUAAAACAGCAUUUUCUUUUGCUCAUAAUUUUGCAGGUCAGGAAUUUGGGCAUGGCUGGGUGUUCUGCCCUGAGGUUCCGCCUGUGGUCACACUGAGAUGUCACCUGGGACAUCCAACACGGGUUGGCAGAUGAUGUUGGCUCUCAGUUGAGAGCUCAGCUGGGACUAUCAAUGGAGAGACUACCUGUGGCCUCUCUAGCAUGGCCGUCUCAGGAUACUCAGACUUCUCACAUAGCAACUGCCUUAACCUAGAGCAAACCUCCUGGUAGAGCCAGAGGGAAGGUCCAUGCCUUCUAUGAUCCAGCUUUAGAAGUCAUAGAGCAUCACUCUGCCAUAUUCUCUUGGUCAAAACAAGGGUGCCCAGAUUUGCAUGAAGUGGACAAGCACUUCGCCUCCCAAUGAGAACAGUAACAAAGGAUUUGCUGCAAUUUAAAUAACCACUGCACGUAGCAAAAUGCUUUAAUUAUAAUCCUUGUUCUUCAGUUGUGCUGUGGCAGGAGGAGCUUGUAGAACCUAACCCAGGAGACAUUGAGGAUCUAUAAAAUUUUAUACAGUUGUUCUGUGAUUCUAAACCCUCUUUCUCUUUCUUCCUGUCUUUAAAAAAAGAUAUGUAGGGAAUUCUUGUUGUGGCUCAGCAGUAACAAACCCAAGUACCCAUGAGGAUGGGUUCAAUCCCUGGCCUUGCUCAGUGGGUUAAGGAUCGGGCAUUGCCAUGAGCUGUGGUGUAGGUUGCAGAUGAGUUUUGGGUCUGGCGUUGCUGUGGCGUAGGCCAGUGGCUACAGCUCUGAUUUGACCCCUAGCCUGGGAACU
rnacentral:lncRNA from 1 species